rnacentral:rRNA from 1 species
CGGGACACGUGGUAUCCUGUCUGAAUAUGGGGGGACCAUCCUCCAAGGCUAAAUACUCCUGACUGACCGAUAGUGAACCAGUACCGUGAGGGAAAGGCGAAAAGAACCCCGGCGAGGGGAGUGAAAAAGAACCUGAAACCGUGUACGUACAAGCAGUGGGAGCCUCUUAAUGGGGUGACUGCGUACCUUUUGUAUAAUGGGUCAGCGACUUAUAUUCUGUAGCAAGGUUAACCGAAUAGGGGAGCCGAAGGGAAACCGAGUCUUAACUGGGCGUUAAGUUGCAGGGUAUAGACCCGAAACCCGGUGAUCUAGCCAUGGGCAGGUUGAAGGUUGGGUAACACUAACUGGAGGACCGAACCGACUAAUGUUGAAAAAUUAGCGGAUGACUUGUGGCUGGGGGUGAAAGGCCAAUCAAACCGGGAGAUAGCUGGUUCUCCCCGAAAGCUAUUUAGGUAGCGCCUCGUGAAUUCAUCUCCGGGGGUAGAGCACUGUUUCGGCAAGGGGGUCAUCCCGACUUACCAACCCGAUGCAAACUGCGAAUACCGGAGAAUGUUAUCACGGGAGACACACGGCGGGUGCUAACGUCCGUCGUGAAGAGGGAAACAACCCAGACCGCCAGCUAAGGUCCCAAAGUCAUGGUUAAGUGGGAAACGAUGUGGGAAGGCCCAGACAGCCAGGAUGUUGGCUUAGAAGCAGCCAUCAUUUAAAGAAAGCGUAAUAGCUCACUGGUCGAGUCGGCCUGCGCGGAAGAUGUAACGGGGCUAAACCAUGCACCGAAGCUGCGGCAGCGACGCUUAUGCGUUGUUGGGUAGGGGAGCGUUCUGUAAGCCUGUGAAGGUGUGCUGUGAGGCAUGCUGGAGGUAUCAGAAGUGCGAAUGCUGACAUAAGUAACGAUAAAGCGGGUGAAAAGCCCGCUCGCCGGAAGACCAAGGGUUCCUGUCCAACGUUAAUCGGGGCAGGGUGAGUCGACCCCUAAGGCGAGGCCGAAAGGCGUAGUCGAUGGGAAACAGGUUAAUAUUCCUGUACUUGGUGUUACUGCGAAGGGGGGACGGAGAAGGCUAUGUUGGCCGGGCGACGGUUGUCCCGGUUUAAGCGUGUAGGCUGGUUUUCCAGGCAAAUCCGGAAAACCAAGGCUGAGGCGUGAUGACGAGGCACUACGGUGCUGAAGCGACAAAUGCCCUGCUUCCAGGAAAAGCCUCUAAGCAUCAGGUAACAUCAAAUCGUACCCCAAACCGACACAGGUGGUCAGGUAGAGAAUACCAAGGCGCUUGAGAGAACUCGGGUGAAGGAACUAGGCAAAAUGGUGCCGUAACUUCGGGAGAAGGCACGCUGAUAUGUAGGUGAAGCGACUUGCUCGUGGAGCUGAAAUCAGUCGAAGAUACCAGCUGGCUGCAACUGUUUAUUAAAAACACAGCACUGUGCAAACACGAAAGUGGACGUAUACGGUGUGACGCCUGCCCGGUGCCGGAAGGUUAAUUGAUGGGGUUAGCGGCAACGCGAAGCUCUUGAUCGAAGCCCCGGUAAACGGCGGCCGUAACUAUAACGGUCCUAAGGUAGCGAAAUUCCUUGUCGGGUAAGUUCCGACCUGCACGAAUGGCGUAAUGAUGGCCAGGCUGUCUCCACCCGAGACUCAGUGAAAUUGAACUCGCUGUGAAGAUGCAGUGUACCCGCGGCAAGACGGAAAGACCCCGUGAACCUUUACUAUAGCUUGACACUGAACAUUGAGCCUUGAUGUGUAGGAUAGGUGGGAGGCUUUGAAGUGUGGACGCCAGUCUGCAUGGAGCCGACCUUGAAAUACCACCCUUUAAUGUUUGAUGUUCUAACGUUGGCCCCUAAUCGGGGUUGCGGACAGUGUCUGGUGGGUAGUUUGACUGGGGCGGUCUCCUCCUAAAGAGUAACGGAGGAGCACGAAGGUUGGCUAAUCCUGGUCGGACAUCAGGAGGUUAGUGCAAUGGCAUAAGCCAGCUUGACUGCGAGCGUGACGGCGCGAGCAGGUGCGAAAGCAGGUCAUAGUGAUCCGGUGGUUCUGAAUGGAAGGGCCAUCGCUCAACGGAUAAAAGGUACUCCGGGGAUAACAGGCUGAUACCGCCCAAGAGUUCAUAUCGACGGCGGUGUUUGGCACCUCGAUGUCGGCUCAUCACAUCCUGGGGCUGAAGUAGGUCCCAAGGGUAUGGCUGUUCGCCAUUUAAAGUGGUACGCGAGCUGGGUUUAGAACGUCGUGAGACAGUUCGGUCCCUAUCUGCCGUGGGCGCUGG